GUUCAUCAGAGCUUCGUAGCUUUUCUCAUACAUGAAGCAAAAUCCUUCACCCCAACAGAGAUUAUUUGUUAUCUUCUAAAAUUCAUUAUUCAAGCUCCAAACAGAACAAAGAAAUUACACUUGACACAAAGACUUAGGUUAAAUGACGUCAUCUGAAUUGUUGAAAAUUGAGAGAUAUUGAACUUUUUCAUAUUCCCAAUACAGAUCCAUACUUACCGCCUUACUGUCUAUCCACAAAAAAGUUUACUGGACAGCUGUCAAUCACUGGAACUACAAAACCUACCCUGCUGUGUCACCCGUCAAUCUCACCACACUUUCUCAGAGGCCUUUUAGCGUGGUUCUUUUGCUCUGUUUUUAGAUAAACAGAUCCAAUUUCUUAACAAACAGGCUGCUACAGUCCUUUUGAUAACAUUGUAAUAAUUCAAAACAAAUGAUUCGUCUCUUUGAUGAUAGCACUUUUAUGGGUCACGAAGAAAUCCUCCCACCAACAUCUGUUUGAUUUUAUCUAUUUGAACUUUAUCCUCCAUUUGAAGAUUUAUAAGCUGAAAUCAUCCCAGGCUAUUAAAGUCAGCCUAAUG